rnacentral:lncRNA from 1 species
UGGCACCAUGACCCUGAGCGUUGCCAGAAGUGAAAGUGAAAAUCCAGUUGUUUUUUUAAAGAAGGGAAAAUCUGGUAUUGUUCCUUUUCUUCUGAGUGAUCCCCACAGCUCUGGUGUCUUGUGUGCAGGGCUCUGAAAGGGGAACAAAUGCUUUAGCAGCCUGCCCGUUGGUGUGGAGUUUCCUGCUGCAGGGCUCRUGCCCAGGGAGAGCGUACUUAAAGGCUUCGUUGGAAAGACGUCACUGUAGACAUGACUGUAAUGAGAACUUGGUAAGCCUGCCCAGGGAUUGCGGAGGAUCAAGGAGUGUGUCGGACCCCAGCGGAGCCAAGCAGCCAGGACAGUCCGAUGGAUUCUCUCCCCUUCACUCGCAUAUGUUUCCUGCUUCUGACCAUUUCAUCUGCCAUUCUAGCUACCACGGUGCCCAGUGGUGACCCUGCUGACUGGACAAAAGACUCUUCCUUGAGCAGCACAAAAGUGACAGCCUAUGACUGCACGCACUGUGGUAUCAGUGUAUGCGAGUUAUCCAAUUUCAGUUGCUGUGUUGUAAUUGGUGAAACACAAAACAAGAUGUUUUCAAAUGAAGUAAUUCAGCUGGUGACCAGUGAAACACAUAUCACUAUGUGCUUUCAGCAAGCAGAUACUUUUCCAGAAGGAAUUUAUGCCAUCAUCUGGGUGAAAGACGAGGGAAUAGGAGAUUCAUGCGGCAYCCUGAAGGCUGAAGGUAUGGUCAGCUGGGAGCCUAGCUCUGAACAAACUGAAAAAUACAUUUCCAAUUAUGAAACAAAACUGUUAUAUAUUUGGGCAGACAGUGAGGUUAAUGAGGCAACUAACUUAAGAUGAGUAUUUUAUGAAGAAAAGACAUAGUCACUUAGAAAAAUAAAUUAAAUGCUUUCAGGCCA